AUGGACGCGGCAAAGCAGCUCCUGGAUUGCUUUGGAGAGGCCACAGGGCUGUGGUGCAACUUCUUGAAAAGCUCCAUUUCCACGAUCCGCUGUCAGGAGGAGGACAUUCGGCAACUCCUCGCGCUGGCCGGCUGCAAAUUCCAGGCGCUACCUAUCACAUACCUCGGCCUUCCUCUCUCGCUACGGGCCCUGACCCGCUCGGAGCUUCAACCCCUCAUUGAUCGGAUCGCCGUGUAGUUGCCAACAUGGAAAGCG
rnacentral:rRNA from 1 species